rnacentral:rRNA from 1 species
CCAGACUCCUACGGGAGGCAGCAGUGGGGAAUAUUGGGCAAUGGGCGCAAGCCUGACCCAGCAACGCCGCGUGAAGGAAGAAGGCUUUCGGGUUGUAAACUUCUUUUCUCGGGGACGAAGAAAGUGACGGUACCUGAGGAAUAAGCCACGGCUAACUACGUGCCAGCAGCCGCGGUAAUACGUAGGUGGCAAGCGUUAUCCGGAUUUAUUGGGUGUAAAGGGCGUGUAGGCGGGAGCGCAAGUCAGAUGUGAAAACUCAGGGCUCAACCCUGAGCCUGCAUUUGAAACUGUGUUUCUUGAGUGCUGGAGAGGCAAUCGGAAUUCCGUGUGUAGCGGUGAAAUGCGUAGAUAUACGGAGGAACACCAGUGGCGAAGGCGGCUUGCUGGACGAUGACUGACGUUGAGGCUCGAAAGCGUGGGGAGCAAACAGGAUUAGAUACCCUAGUAAU